GGGCUGCUAGCUCAAUGGGCAGAGCAGCGGACUUUUAAUCCGCGGGUUCAGGGUUCGAGUCCCUGGCGGCCCA
rnacentral:tRNA from 1 species